rnacentral:lncRNA from 12 species
AUGGAGUCUGGUGGUACAGUUUUGAGUACCAACUGGUCUGAUGUAGGUAAAAGGAAAGUUGAAAUCAACCCUCCUGAUGAUAUGGACUGGAAAAAGUACUAAAUAAAUUAAUUUGCUAUCACUGUAAAAAAAAAAUCCAUCAUUUAAAUCUAUGCAUUUUUUUUUAAAAGGGUAGAAUUAAUAUUUUAUUGUCACUUAAAUAAAAAAAAAUUACAAGUUUUCAACAGCCAUGGGCUGGUUAUGUUUUCAGAAAAUGUAAUUAGAUUAAUUCAUUUAUGGUGGCUUCAAGUUUUUCCUUAUUAGCGCCGGAAAAUUCACCCACCUUUUGUCCCUCUGCUUCCUGGGCGCCGGCUCCUCCUCGCGGGCCGAGCUCGGGCGCGCGGAGCGCCGCAUCCCGAGCCGCCUGGAGCCGCUGCAGCACCCGGGCCCGCUGCUCCGCCUCGCGCUCCUCGCCGCCGCCCGGAGCCGCCCCCAGGUGACGCUGCUCGCCACCUACUUUCUGGAGCUGCCGCUGCCGGAGGCCGAGGCCGCAGGACGCCAGCUGAGCUUGGCGCACCGCUUGCUGGACGGGGCGGGCUCCGGCCUCGAGCCCCCGCUUUACAGCCCCGCAGAGCUGCGCCCGCUCCAGCCGUGCACCGCCCGCGCCGCGCUCCGAGGCCCCGCGCCCGGCGCCCCCAGCCCGCGCCUCGCUGAGCCCGGAGGCCGCAUCAGAAAAGACUGUUCGUGUGUGUCCGUCUCCCACUUCAAUAAAAGAGUUAAAAAAAAAAAAAAAAGUUCCACCUCGGCCGGCAGCCACUGCACCGCGUCCCGGAGCUGCGAGUUCUCCUCCAGGAGGAGGAGAUUUGAUUUGAGCUUUUGAGCUUUUUUGAGAUUUUUUUUUAUGAUAAUAAAGCAGCACAGUGUUUUAUUUUUACACAAUCAUCGUUCAGUAAAUGCUGUUACGUCGUGAAAUAUUACACUUCAAUCUCCUUUUCAAUAGAGAGGUCUUCUAAGGAAAUGACCUGGAGCCUUCCACAUUUAUCAGAUGCCUUUUCAUUAUUCUUUUCCAUUUUUGCAAUUCUGGAUCCAAACUGCAUGGCCCGUUUUGGCAGAAGAGCACAGGCUGUUAAGCCAAGUUCCACUGCUGCAAGACGCAAAAUCAGUUUUUCACCAAUUCCACGGGGUAAAGUCAAGUCUGCCUUUUUCCAAACUGAGGGCCCUCGCCUUCCACUGGAUGGGAAGCAAACUCCGACUUCAGAGGCACGGGGUUUGGCCUGCCACCCAGAGCCUUCCUUCCCGGCGUCGCAUCUCCCAGCGGGCCCACCGCUGAUUCUGCACACCCCGACGCAGUCACCGGGGAGGCGGAGCAGGCUGGGACCAGGACAGCCAGCUCCCCGAAGUCACGUCCACAGCGCCCCGGGACGGCGGACGCUCCCCGGGUCCGCUCGGGCACGUCAGCUUCGGUGGGGGCAGGGGGCGCGCAGCCGGCAGCCUCGAGAACCAGCGACUCCGACGCGGACGCGCCAACCACUGCCGUUAACUUUGCCGCCAGCGGGACUUCCGGCGCGAGGCGGGGCGGCUGGCGGCUGGCGGCUGGCGGCUUCCGGCUUCCAGGACCCGGUCCUCCUCCCGCCGCAGCCCGCCCCUCCUCCCGGCCCCGGUCCCGGUCCCGGCCCCGGCCCCGGUCCCGGUCCCGGACCCCCUCGCCACCCCGAGGCCCCGCCCCCUGCCCGGGUCCCCCUCGCCACCCCGAGGCCCCGCCCCCUGCCCGGUCCCCCUCGCCACCCCGAGGCCCCGCCCCCUGCCCGGUCCCCCUCGCCACCCCGAGGCCCCGCCUACAGACCACUCAGGCCCCGCCCCCGGCCCCUCCUUC